GCGGACGGGUGAGUAACACGUAGGUAACCUACCCUUAAGAGGGGGGCAANANAGGGAAACUUGANCUAAUACCCCAUAAGACCACGGGCUGGGAGGCUUGUGGUAAAAGCAGCGAUGUGCUUAAGGACGGGCCUGCGGCCUAUCAGGUAGUUGGUGAGGUAACGGCCCACCAAGCCAAAGACGGGUAGCCGGGCUGAGAGGUUGAACGGCCACACUGGAACUGAGAAACGGUCCAGACUCCUACGGGANGCAGCAGUGGGGAAUAUUGCACAAUGGGCGAAAGCCUGAUGCAGCGACNCCGCGUGGAGGAUGAAGGUC
rnacentral:rRNA from 1 species